AUCACUUCUCUGUCUUUUGGCUAAGAUCAAGUCUAGUAUCUGUUCUUAUUUCUAUAAAAACAAGAACAACUUGAAUUUACCUUGGGAUCUAUAAAGUACCUACUUCCCUACUACCAGAGCUGAUGACCACAGGUGAAGGUUGGAAAAUAGAUCUACAAUUUCAUUUAGCAGUGAAUUUGACUGGAUUUUGGUUAAUUAUU